AUACGUAGGUGGCAAGCGUUAUCCGGAUUUACUGGGUGUAAAGGGCGCGUAGGCGGGGAUGCAAGUCAGAUGUGAAAUCUAUGGGCUUAACCCAUAAACUGCAUUUGAAACUGUAUCUCUUGAGUGCUGGAGAGGUAGACGGAAUUCCUUGUGUAGCGGUGAAAUGCGUAGAUAUAAGGAAGAACACCAGUGGCGAAGGCGGUCUACUGGACAGUAACUGACGCUGAGGCGCGAAAGCGUGGGGAGCAAACAGGAUUAGAUACCCUGGUAGUCCACGCUGUAAACGAUGAAUACUAGGUGUGGGGGGACUGACCCCCUCCGUGCCGCAGUUAACACAAUAAGUAUUCCACCUGGGGAGUACGACCGCAAGGUUGAAACUCAAAGGAAUUGACGGG
rnacentral:rRNA from 1 species